rnacentral:miRNA from 14 species
AGUAGAGAUGGGGUUUCACCAUGUUGCUCAGGCAGGUCUCGAACUCCUGACCUCAGGUGAUCCACCCCCC